CCUACGGGGGGCAGCAGUGGGGAAUAUUGGACAAUGGGGGGAACCCUGAUCCAGCCAUGCCGCGUGUGUGAAGACGGCCCUCGGGUUGUAAAGCACUUUCAGUGAGGAAGAACGCCUGGUGGUUAAUACCCAUCAGGAAAGACAUCACUCACAGAAGAAGCACCGGCUAACUCCGUGCCAGCAGCCGCGGUAAUACGGAGGGUGCGAGCGUUAAUCGGAAUUACUGGGCGUAAAGCGCGCGUAGGUGGCUUGAUAAGCCGGUUGUGAAAGCCCCGGGCUCAACCUGGGAACGGCAUCCGGAACUGUCAAGCUAGAGUGCAGGAGAGGAAGGUAGAAUUCCCGGUGUAGCGGUGAAAUGCGUAGAGAUCGGGAGGAAUACCAGUGGCGAAGGCGGCCUUCUGGACUGACACUGACACUGAGGUGCGAAAGCGUGGGUAGCAAACAGGAUUAGAUACCCCGGUAGUC
rnacentral:rRNA from 1 species